CACUCCUGCGGGAGGCAGCAGUGGGGAAUUUUGGACAAUGGGGGCAACCCUGAUCCAGCAAUGCCGCGUGAGUGAAGAAGGCCUUCGGGUUGUAAAGCUCUUUUGUCAGGGAAGAAACGGUGGUGGCGAAUAACUACUACUAAUGACGGUACCUGAAGAAUAAGCACCGGCUAACUACGUGCCAGCAGCCGCGGUACUACGUAGGGUGCAAGCGUUAAUCGGAAUUACUGGGCGUAAAGCGUGCGCAGGCGGUUGUGUAAGUCAGAUGUGAAAUCCCCGGGCUCAACCUGGGAAUUGCAUUUGAGACUGCACGGCUAGAGUGUGUCAGAGGGGGGUAGAAUUCCACGUGUAGCAGUGAAAUGCGUAGAUAUGUGGAGGAAUACCGAUGGCGAAGGCAGCCCCCUGGGAUAACACUGACGCUCAUGCACGAAAGCGUGGGGAGCAAACAGGAUUAGAAACCCGUGUAGUCCCAUGA
rnacentral:rRNA from 1 species